CCUACGGGAGGCAGCAGUGAGGAAUAUUGGUCAAUGGGCGGGAGCCUGAACCAGCCAAGUCGCGUGAGGGAAGACGGUCCUAUGGAUUGUAAACCUCUUUAGGCGGGGAGCAAUGCCGGGCACGCGUGCCCGGAGGGAGAGUACCCGCAGAAUAAGCAUCGGCUAACCCCGUGCCAGCACCCGCGGUAAUACGGAGGAGGCGACCGUUAUCCGGAUUUUUGGGGUUUAAAGGGUGCGUGGUCGGAUUUUUAAGUCAGCGGUAAAAUGUCCGGGCUCACACUGGGCCGGCCGUUGAAACUGGGGAUCUUGAGUGUGCGAGAAGUAUGCGGAAUGCGUGGUGUAGCGGUGAAAUGCAUAGAUAUCACGCAGAACUCCGAUUGCGAAGGCAGCAUACCGGCGCCCGACUGACGCUGAGGCACGAAAGCGUGGGGAUCGAACAGGAUUAGAUACCCUUGUAGUC
rnacentral:rRNA from 1 species